rnacentral:sRNA from 1 species
AUACGAAUUGUAUAACUCAUCCAAAGCAAGAAAAGCAUGUGGUAGCUUGCAUCCAAAACAAUAGGAAAGAAAGAUGAAGAGCACAUUCUACAUAGAUACAAUACAUACAUUCAUAUAACCCUUCGUCGAUGAAUACAUAUCCAAUCCAACAUAAACAAAAAGUUACCAUAGGCGAGUUCAAGAGAAACUAUUGUAGGAAGUAACCACCCAAAAAGAGAGCGAAGAAGAGCAACAAAGUGCCGUAUAUAAGGAUGGUCUUCUGACCCGAGGUCAGGGAAUUUCCCCCGAGUCCGUAUUGUUGGUUCUGCGCAAACCCUGCGAUCUGAACGCUCUUGCUCUCGAAGAAACUCUGUGCGGCUCCGCACGUGGGACACCGCCAAUCGUCUGGAAGCUUCUCGAACUGGAACCCCGGGGCAAUCGGAUACGAAGGAUCGCCCACCGCCUCGUCGUAUUUAUAACCGCACGACCGGCACUCGUAGAUGCCAGUGUUCAGAACCGCGAAUUUCUCCUCCAGCCGCCGCGGGUCCAAGUUCUCCGCCGCUGGCUCCGGCGUUGGCGUUGGCGUUGGCGUUGGCGUGGACGUGGUGUCUUCCUUUGAGACGUCGAUGGAGUUGACGGUGAGAUUUCGGGGUUUGGCAAAGAGAGAAGGAAGAGAAUGAGGUUUGAAUUUGGGUUUGGGUUUGAGAGAGAAGGUUGAGAAGUUGAGAGAGAAAGGUGACGGUGGAGUAAAGCUAGCCAUUGUUAGUUGAAAGAUAGAGCCAGCCGUGAGUGACGGUUGGUUCUUCUGUGGAGGAGAAGACGAGAAUAACCAUAGUAUAUGCCCUUCCUCUUGGAUAAGUUUCAUUUGGAUCGCCUCUCUCUUUCUUCCUGCACUCCCCAAUUUUCUUCUUUCACCCCCUCAUUCAAGAAAUAGUGGAUAAGGGAUGAACUAAUCAUUGCGUGAAUUUCAGAACAUUACCUUCCUCUUUUGCUUUUCACCUAUUUUUUUCUCAGAGAAAAAGGUGGAAAGUUAAUCAACCUUACCGGAAUCUUACCACUUCCAAACAACUUAUAUAAUGGCAUGCCAACAACUGUACCAAGAGCAUUAAUAAUAAAUUGAUUUUUUUUAUUGAAAAUUAUUACAAAUUGCAUUGCGAUGAAAUUGUAUGAAAACAUUUAUUGUGUUUAGCCUAAAAGAACCUGAAUAAAUAAAUAAAUUUCACUUCUAAAAUCAGAAUCUACUUUAAUUCCUCGUAUCAUUCAACGAAACUCCAGUUUGAAUUCUGAAAUUGACAUAUCAACCACUCUAAUCCCAAAUGCUAGUCAAAUGAUUAAUUGACUGCUAUCAAUUAAUUCCACCCGUGUUAAAAGAUCCUAUUAGGUAAUGUUCAUCAAAUU